CGUCGUCGUCGUCGGCGUAGAGAGACUUGGGUUGCAACAGCCGAAAGAAAACUCUUUCGUUUAAAUAAGUUAAAAUCGAGAAUACAAGGAACGCGUUGUGGGCGUCUGCGUUAGCAACAAGCAACCCAAAGGAAAUAUAAAUAUAAAUACAUGUAAAAUAAAUUAUUUGCUGUGUGGCAAAGGAAAAUUAUCAACAUUUCUGGUGAGGCAGUGACAUCAUCAAAUUUUACUGUUAUAAAUCUGCUUGAAAUAUUUGAUGAUGGAGGAGUGUUGGCUGUUGAAUGUAAAUCAGUCUUUUUUGUUUGCCGGGGAAAUACAACAGAAUGAACUUACACUUACUGAAUAUUUGGACUAACCCAUACAAUUCUAAAGAAUUCCGUUUAAACAUAACGAUUAAGUUUUCAGUUUCAUCCGAUAAAUAUUUUGUAUUUUGCACCAGCUUCGACACAGUUUCUCAGUUACAAUUUAAUGAACAUUAUUCAAAGAAUAUCAUCGAGUUUCUAAAAUCAAAAAUAAAAUUGCCCACCGCAUAUUUCUGGUACUUUAUUUUCCAACUUUAACUCGUAUGAUGGUAAGAAACAACUCUCCACCAGAAUCAGUCGGUGUUGGGUAUGUUGACCUUGGAAAUUUUGAUAUUUUCUCUUUGGAUAACAUAUCACUUGUCUUCUCUCGCUUAAUUUGAUAUUGUGGGACAUCAUGUAAUUCACGAUUGUCUACAAAUUCCAGGAUCCGUUGCUCCCCAAUAACCACUGGACAUUCCUCUUUUUACGUGUUAUGCAGGCUUUCAAAAAUUUCUUCAAAAUAGAUAUGUGUUAGCGUUUUUCAUUGGUUUGACAUCGACGGGCGGUCUAACUGUUAAAACUAUUCCUUAUAAGUUUUGAAAUCUCUGUAAUAACCUGAGAUUCUGUGGACAAAGUCUCAGGUCACCUGAUGUUAUAAUGCAUCUAUGGGAUGGUUCGAAGAGAAUGCAAUAAAGCCAAGAAUAAGCACGUGACCCAAUCUGUGAACCAAAAACUGGAAUUUAUAAGAAAAUUCGAGACUAUGCCUUUGUUGGAGAGAGUUAGUGAAAAGUUUGAUGUUAACAGAUUAAGUUUUUCAGACGUGAACACGGCUAACAACAAACUCAUGGCAUUCUCAGUGCGGCGGUUGAUUCAUUUCCUGUUUAAUUAAAGGGUUCUUUGAUAAAUGUUUA
rnacentral:lncRNA from 1 species